GAAAUCUCUUGGGAGGUAGUUUUGAGGUACUUGCAAACCCAUUUUGGCCUUGAAUUCAGCAGCUGCAAACAUGCAGCGAAAAAGGAAACGAAUGAGAUGAAUGAUGCAAAAAGAUGGGACUAGAGACAAGCAAUUCUUUUCAAAAGAAGGAGUGACGUCAAGGGCCGAGAGCUGGAUGGCCGGAUGGGCAAUUUUUAGGCUUUUUCAAGUUUGAUUCCGCUUUUGGACAAGAAGUUGAGGGAGUAUUAAGAUAGUUUUUACACUGAUUUACCUCUCUUAUAAUACAAUAAAAUAAGCACUUAUUGUAGCCUAAUGCUGGCUUGCGUUCUGGUUAAAGGACGCAUUCAAAUCAAAAAUACCCUGAAAAAUGGCUAUUUUCAAUUUUCAGACCAAUACUGACAGCAAAAUAUCCCACUGAUUGUGAGACGAUUUGAUAACAGGCUAAAUUAUAUUUUUAUCAAUAAAUGUAGAACUUUUAAUGUCAAAAUAUACAGGAGGUUACAACUA